CAUGAGAAAAAACCGUGUUGACUGCUCAUUGGAUUGUGAAAUAAAUAUGCAUAGUUUUACUCUAAUAAAAAUGACAAAGGUGACAUACAUGGACCACUUAGAAAACUAUGUCAGUAGUAAAAAAAGUCUAAGUACCUACCAAAUAAAAAAAAUAUCAUAAAAAACAACGUACAUAACACAACUCAACCUAUUUUAACCUGUUGUAAUGUAUAGCCUCUAUAGACUUUGAAACGAAUAUAUGCUGUUUUGACAGUAACAAAUAAUUUGAUAGAAAGCUUAAAACAAAUAUAUGUUGUUUCCACCCUAACAAAUAGUUUGAUAGAAAUCUAGUAAGUGAGGAAAUGAAUUCUAUAACAUGACUUCACACUUGAGAAGUGUGCAAAAUCCCAACCGGUCCAUUUUGUCAUAGAAUUUCCUUGCAACCAUACCUGAAAAAAAAGUAUUAGACCCUAGCUAGUACGCCUAGCAAUAAUCAGCACCUCAGGUCAGAGUAUAUUCUUAGGUGAAAUAAAAAUCAACAGAAUCCCAUCCCAUCCUCAAUUCCUCAUGAAACCCUAUUUUCUCACAAGUCCAACCCUAGCAACUGUAGGACUGUGCGGCACCACUAGCAAGAACAAGGCCAUUAGGGGACCGUCUCCUCUAUAUAAGCCCUCCAUACGGUACCACCAGAACGGAACGGGCGAAGAAGCCCAGCCAGUAGUAUAGCUCUCCCAGUCCCAGAUCUGGCCGGCUGCCUGCCGCCGCCUUCUUCCCCAAUUCGGGAAAGACGACGAUGAAGAUAUGUUUGUGUACCAUGGUUUGGUUCUUCUCUCUAGCUAUAUCCCCCCUUGCACCCAGGCGCGCGCGCUUCUUGUUGCGUCUGUUCUGUGCUGUACUUUGCAGCAGUGGUCGACGACGGGGUGGGAUGGGGGCGCUGGCUGGAGCUGGAGUAGACGGUGUGGCUGACAGAAGAGAGUGAGCACGCAUCGGCCAGACUGCAUCUAUAUACGGCUGCUCCUGGCGAGAUAUGGAUGGAUGGAUGUCUAGGCGCAGCUGCUGUUGCGUGCUCACUUCUCUUUCUGUCAGCUCUCUCUCCUCCUAGGGACUUGUUCUGCCGUAUGCAUCCAUCUCCCCUCGUCCCACAUCCAUCCAUAUCGCUGCGCUGUGCACCGAUGAUGCGUCGUCGUCAUGCAGGUGCAGCCGUUUCUCUCCUCGCAUCGGUCGCCGUGGUGGCACUGUUUGUUCUGCGGCGCCUGUUCGUGUCCCUACCUGAAACCUUAUCUUGUCGUCCGCUCGGAUUACGAUGACCUCUGCUCUUUGGAAUAAGGUGGGCGAGGCAGCCAUGAAGGUGGUGGUCGGAGGCAGAUCUGCUUGGAUGAUCCAAGUGGAACGGCCCCCCGACAGCUGGCACGGCACCUACCUCCAGCGGCAGCACCGGCGGCUUCGUCUAGAUCUGGAAACUGCUAAUGUUUCUUCUCCAUCCAGUCGGUGAGUUCGUGCUUCUUCCUCUCUCUCGUCUUAAAGCUUCUGUUAAAGCGUGUGCAUGCUAGUAGUAUUGUGCUUAUAUCGUUGCUUGCCUUGUUCUGGAGUUGUAUCAAUGGAUGGUUAAUUGAUUUCGUCUCUGAGGGAUUGGGGAUUUUGCAUCUCAUGGUACUCCUAUUUGCGAAUGAUAUCAGCUAGCUAAGUGUUUUCUUGCUGUUAAUUCGUUGUUUCAUUCAUGCAGGGUGUUCCCUUGAGCCUUUGCUUGCGUGGUCGUUCUUAAUUUUCCUGAACUGGUGUCAAACACGAGAUAAUAUAGGCUUAGUUACCCUUGGGUCCUACUUCUUGGCACCCAUAACUUGCUUAAUUUAUGGCCGUUUAAUCAGUCAAUUAUAUGAUCUUCCGUGUGGAAAAUCUAUAAUAGCACAGUGCAACACAUGGUCGUUUUAUUGUAUGCAGAAUAGAAUGCUCGUUGAACCCAUUAAUUGAUUGAUUUCCCACUGCCUAUAUACAACUACCGAACCAUGUAUAUUUAUGUUUUCUAUCUAUUAUAUCUAAAAAAUGCUAGUUAUGUCUUCAGUGCUUCUGUAUCAUUUGUUCCUUCGGUUCUGCAUCAUCUUCCUCUCCACUCUUUGAAGUGUGAACUACCACAAAUUAAGCUGUUGUAACUCAUUAGUUUAUUACAAAAGUUUCUGCCCACUUUUAAUAUAUUUGUUUAUUUUACAUUGAUCGUGUAAACCUUUGAGGUUGUGUCUGAUGUAAUUAAUAAUUGCAAAACUGUUGUUAUGUUGCUGUAUGCUUGGCACAUUGAGUUUAUAUUAUUGCUCAUUGUUUGUUAUACAGAAGUUUCAGCAAAAAAAAUGUUUUGCCUUGGUCAUGAUAAAUUAAAUGACAGUUAUGAAUUGCACAUAUUGAUCAUCUCUGUUUGGUUGAAAUUUUAAUUGUAUGUGAUAUUGUGGUAUGUUACUAUGUAUUUGGAUAGCACAUAUUGAAUCAAGAUAAAAGUGGCCGCAUAUGAUGGUUGCUGUUAUUGCUUUACAAAUUCUCUUAACAGUAUCUAACAGAUGAAAUUUCUUAUUGCAAUAUCUAACAUCAGUUUCAAUCAAAAUUAAUCAGUGUUCAUAUUUUUCCUCUUGCAAACUGUAGCAAUACAUGAGAUUAUUCUAUAGUGAGUUAAGUACUGACUAGUUCUUUAGCAGAACAAAAAAGAGAAAGGUGCUUGGUGCAGUCUAUGCUCCUGAAACUAUCUGGAAUCGUCUCAUUAUUAAAAAAAAAUAUGUUUAAUCCGCAUUCAGAUCACUACAUCUAAGGUAGCUCCAUUUCUCAGUAGAAGUUCCUAUAAGGCUUCUGAACACAAAAAUGUUCAGGUAAAACAUUGGACAUUGUUCCUUUUGAUAUGAUUAGGCCAAACUAAGAUUAACUAAGGAGUCAUUCUUUGUUGAUCUGAGAUGCUCAACUCUGGUUUGGUGCAACCAAAUCAUCCAACUCCAAUUUAAUUUUCCCUAUUUAUACCUCCUGAUUAUCAAGUCAUGUGAUUUUUUUACAUAGAUCCGCCGAGUCUCAUCUGUCGGCCGGCCUUGGUGAUGGAUAAUGUCAUCACAAGGGACAUACAAGUAGAUGUCCCUUGGUGUAUGCUCUUUUUUGAAUAUAGUGCUAGUUAAUGGAAGUUGUUGGAAGCCUAGAUUUGUGGUGGCGUACUAGAGACCAAAGAUUUUAUACUUUAGCAUUACUCCAACAUUACUUGACCUGGGGAGGGAGAUAACAAGAUACUUCCUUUUUGAAGGUCAAUUAUUGCCCAAGAGAGAAACCUUUAGAUAUUUGGGAUUGAUGAGUGCAUAAAUUGAGAUGUUAAUCAUAGAAUUAAAGUGGGGUGGAUGAAAUGAUGGCAAUCAUUUGGCAUUUUCUAUGACAUAUGACAAGAAGGUUCCAUAUUGACUAAAAAGGUAAGGUCCAUAAAAUGAAAGACCUAUGAUGUUUAUGAUGUAGAAUGUUGGCAUACUAGAAGGUGUUCAAUAGUUAAGUGUUAUAGGAACACAUAUGUGUAUUGCUAUAGUGACCGAAUAGUCCAAUAGGGGGGUGGGUGGGCUCCGUUGACUUGGGCUUUAAAUAAAUUAAAGCUUAACAACAGUAAAUAUGUGAUUUAACCCUUGCAUAACAAGACAUAGAAUUAAACAAGACAUACUGAGAAGAGUCUUAGCUCCAUCAAGCUAAGCCAUAUUCCAACUUUGAUCACACUUUCGACUUGAAAACCUAACUAGUGAAUCACACUAAGGCAAAACCAAGUCUACUUGUCAAUCAACAUCUUGAAGGCACACAAAGAUUGCAAGAAAGUAAAUGAAUAAUAAUUAAAGAGAUGGACAAGUAAUAAUUGGAUUUUGCCUUGGUAUCAAGCUGUUGCCCUAACCCUCUAAUCCACGUUGGAGCACCUACUAAAGGUUAAGUUCACUUGAGUCAUAUCAUAAAUGCUAUCCACUAAAAGAAUCCAUUCUCCACUCCGGUUUGGCGGGCCUCAAACCAAGUGCAAAGAGAGGAUCCUUUGACCAACUCCACCAAUGGAAGGUCACCUAGUCCUCCACUAGACCAUUUAGGUGCUAGCAAACACCAAGAGUAACACAUUUUCAACCUUCACUUGAAAACACUCCAAGUCAAGACCCAAAGGAUGCACACAAAGAUCACUCUCACUAAGCCAAUCUUUGAUCGUGACUUGCAAAUGCCCUUGAAACCCUCACAAUAGCUUCCUAAUAUGAUCUAGAUGAUCUUUCAUGUCCACUAAGGCACACCAUCGGAACAUACGGUGAACAUCAUCAAGCAUUUUCACACGGUGUCCAAGUCAUGCAUAGUGCCAACGGACAAUUCGAUGGCUGCCACAAAGGUAUCACUGAAUCAUACUAUGCACAUCAAUGACUUGGACAACUUAUGAUGAAUAAUGUCAUAGUGUUAUCCAUUGGGCUCCACACAUGUGCCGUUGGAUUUUAUGAUGAAAAUUAGGAACUUGCUCACACUAGUUCAAGUUCCAAUAGUGCCACAUAGCACCAAAUGAUACACUAGCACUACUACAACACAGGGAUAUCGUAACACCAUCUUUGUGUUACUAUAGGCUAAAAAGCAUUAUUAUCUCUCGUAGUAACACAUUAUUUUUGUGUUUCCAGCUGGCCAUGCUACUAUAGACUUUACGAUGAACAUUAACAACUUGCUCACACCAGUUCAAGUCCCAAUUGUGCCACGUAGCACCAAAUGAUACACUGACACUACUACAAUACAAGGAUAUAGUGACACCUUUUUUGUUAUUGUAAGCUAAAAAAGUGUUAUUGCCGCUAUUAGUAACACAUUUUUUUUUCUAAUGGGCCAUGUUACUAUAGAUUGAUCUAUUGCAACACAAGAUAUGUGUUCUUUUAUAUAAAAAAAGUGUUCGUACACUGUAACACAUUUACUUAUCUACUAGAACAUUUGUCUAGUGUUGCAGUGAUUUCUAUUGUAACACUUUAUUUUAGCUCUAAUAACUCUUUCAUAUUGUGUUAGAACACAUGAUCUUUAACACAUUAUUUACUUAUCUAUUGGAACAUUUGUCUAGUGUUACAUUGGUUCUAUAUUGUAGCACUUCCACAUUGUGGUAGAGUACAUAGAUUUUGAAUAGAGGAACAGAUGGUUUGUAACACAUGUUUUACCUAUUGUAACAUAUUCAGAAUUUUAAAUAAAUAUUUAUUUUACCCUUGCAUGUGAAAUACACAUUUUACAAUCACACAAAUAUGACACAUUGGUAAAAUCACACAACCCACAAAUUCUAAUAAUCAUAGCAAGAUUCACAGAUCAUAGGAAGGUUUCAAACAUAGUACUUACUCAGAUCAAGUGAUAGUAAGGUUUCAAACAUAGAAAUAUGGCUCGAGAGAGCAAAAAAACAUAGUAUUGAAGAGUACAAGUCCAAGAUAUUAGAAAUGAAAAUGCCAUAUCUACUAUUCUUCAAUUUCAUUGCUUCAUCAUCCAUUGUUGCAAACAUUGAUAUAGAAAUUCAGCCAUUAAUCAUUUCACCCUGCAAAAGAGAAAGUAAGAUGUAACAUUACAUGUUAUUCUAUCUAUACCUUUCACUACUGGAAACCAAAAUAUCCCUAUCGGGUACCGUAGAAUACAUAGGGAAAUAGCAUUUGUCCUGUCGAUUGCCUUAAAAAUACAAGAAAGUAAGAAAACCGACAUGAAUAAUCUCUUAUCCUUGUUGGUUACUGUAGAGAACACAGGGAAAUUAGUGAAUGCUCUUUUUUUACUAGACAAACCAACGAAAAAAAUCAUGACUAUAUAUGCAAGAAACCAGCACCCAACCUGGGCCUUGGAUUGUCGUGGCCUUCUGAGCCAGCUCAAAUAGUGGCGUGUUAUGUGCCCACACGCAUAAAAGCAACACAGAGAGAAACCCUAGGGCAGUUGUGUCCGUGCCCUUCCACUGCUCAAGGUACAUGUCUCUUCCUCUUCUCUUUUUAAUGUUUUUUUAUCCCUUCAUCGCCGUGGAUGUGUGUAGUGUUGGGUUCUGGCAGGUGUCUUUGUUUAUGUCAUGACGACCAAAUCCUCUCCCUUGUGUAGGAUUAGAUGGAAUUUAUUUUUCUGUUAGUGAAAAGGUCGACAAUUACAUAAAAUAAUCUGGUAUUGCAUUAACUAUUUCUUAGGGGUACUUGUAGAUCAGAUUUAGUGUGAAAUUGUAAAAAUUUUAUUUGUAAGCUAGUGGCAGCUUCCUGUAACUGUUUGAGAAGGCAUAAUAAUGUGGCAAAUCUGGCACAAGUCUUGGAUUUAUUAUCGGGGUAUUAAUAUGGAAAGACAUAAUGUGAUUUAAUUAUUGUUUUUUACUUAAAUUAAGAUUGUAAAAUGCCUUCAAGUUCAAUGCUACUUCUACCCAUUUGUAAGGUUCUUUAUAUGCACAUAUCAAUUCUUUGUAAGGCAUGUCCUUGACUGCCUAUGGAGCGCAUCGCUCGACACACGUACAUGUUCUUGUUGUAGCAUUUGUGUUUGGGGCCGAUCUUUUGAUGCUGUUGUGCCUGUUGCAGGUGUGACUUGAAGGUGGUGAAUGAUGUAAACACCUUCAUCGAGAAAAAAUAUAGGAUCAUUAGAAAACAGAUCAGCAGGUUUUCUUUUAAUUGUUCCUGAAAGCAUGUUGAACCAAGUUGAGUGAACAUCUGAAAUAACACAAGGCUGACGAAAAGUUAGGCUUCUCAAAUUCUCUUUGGUAGCCAAAGGAAUGCGUGAAGCAAUUCAACUAUUAGUUGAACAAGAAAAUAGUUUGUUUUUCUUCUCCAUGGCCAUGUUUGUGACACUAGUAUUAUUCAUGCUAAAAUCUAGAUAUCAUAUUUGUACUAGGUUCGUUCCUUUGCGUUGUCACGGAUAAAAAAGAUAAGAUCAUAUAGUAAUUAAAUGUUUCACAUGUACUUGGCUUAACAAAAA